UAGACGAAUGCCUGUUGGUUUGGGCGCUUAGCUGUUAACUAAGAGUUUGUGGGAUCGAGACCCACUCGUCUAG
rnacentral:tRNA from 1 species